rnacentral:rRNA from 1 species
GACGAACGCUGGCGGCGUGCUUAACACAUGCAAGUCUAACGGAGGGGCGAACGGGUGAGUAACACGUGUGUGAUCUGCCUCGCACUUCGGGAUACGCUUGGGAAACUGGGUCUAAUCCCGGAUAUUGCAAGCUGAGCUCGCGGCCUAUCAGCUUGUUGGUGGGGUACUGGCCUACCAAGGCGUCGACGGGUAGCCGGCCUGAGAGGGUGUAAGGCCACAUUGGGACUGAGGUACGGGCCAGAAUAGUACGGGGGGCAGGAGGGGGGAAUAUUGCACAAGGGGCGGAAGUCUGAGGCAGCGACGCCGCGGGGGGGAGGAAGGCCUUCGGGUUGUAAACUCCUUGCGACAGGGACGCGGUACCUGUAUAAGAAGCACCGGCUAACUACGUGCCAGCAGCCGCGGUAAUUC